rnacentral:rRNA from 1 species
GACGAACGCUGGCGGCGCGCUUAACACAUGCAAGUCGAACGGAAAGGCCUGCUUUCCCUUGUGGAUUGCGGGUACUCGAGUGGCGAACGGGUGAGUAACACGUGAGUGAUCUGCCCCCAACUUGGGUAUAAGCCCGGGAAACUGGGUCGAAUUCCCGAUAGGACUGCAGGGUGGUGCCUGUGGUGGAAAACGAUAUUCUCGUGGUUGGGGUUGAGCUCGCGGCCUAUCAGCUUGUUGGUGAGGUAAUGGCCUACCAAGGCGGCGACGGGUAGCCGGCCUGAGAGGGUGGACGGCGACAUUGGGACUGAGAUACGGCCCAGACUCCUGCGGGAGGCAGCAGUGGGGAAUAUUACACGAUGGGCGGAAGCCUGAUGCAGCGACGCCGCGUGGGGGAUGCCGGCCUUCGGGUUGUAAACUCCUUUCGACCGCGAGGAAGCCACCUGGUUGGAAGGGUGGUGACGGUAGUGGUAGAAGAAGCACCGGCUAACUACGUG